rnacentral:rRNA from 1 species
CCCUUAGAUGUUCUGGGCCGCACGCGCGCUACACUGAUUCAUGCAACAAGUUUUGUCCUUGGCUGAUAGGCCUGGGUAAUCUUUGAACGUGAAUCGUGAUGGGGAUAGAUGAUUGCAAUUAUUCAUCUUCGACGAGGAAUUCCUAGUAAACGCAAGUCAUCAGCUUGCAUUGAUUACGUCCCUGCCCUUUGUACACACCGCCCGUCGCACCUACCGAUUGAAUGGUCCGGUGAAAUCUUCGGAUCUGAGAGAUGUCUGAUUAAUUUCGGACGCCUUUUGGAAAAGUUGCUUAAACCUUACCAUUUAGAGGAAGGUGAAGUCGUANCA